CCCUUAGAUGUUCUGGGCUGCACGCGCGCUACACUGAUGCACUCAACGAGUUUACGACCUUGCCUGGAAGGGUUGGGUAAUCUUUUUAACAUGCAUCGUGAUGGGGAUAGAUUAUUGCAAUUAUUAAUCUUCAACGAGGAAUUCCUAGUAAGCGCGAGUCAUCAGCUCGUGCUGAUUACGUCCCUGCCCUUUGUACACACCGCCCGUCGCUCCUACCGAUUUCGAGUGGUUCGGUGAACCUUUCGGACCGGCAAUGCCUCGUGUUGCGCCGGAAAGUCAAGUAAACCAUAUCACUUAGAGGAAGGAGAAGUCGUAACA
rnacentral:rRNA from 1 species